AUACGGAGGAUGCGAGCGUUAUCCGGAUUUAUUGGGUUUAAAGGGAGCGUAGGUGGGAUAUUAAGUCAGCUGUGAAAGUUUGGGGCUCAACCUUAAAAUUGCAGUUGAUACUGGUUUCCUUGAGUACGGUACAGGUGGGCGGAAUUCGUGGUGUAGCGGUGAAAUGCUUAGAUAUCACGAAGAACUCCGUUCGCGAAGGCAGCUAACCGAGCCGGAACUGACACUGAUGCUCGAAAGUGCUGGUAUCAAACAGGAUUAGAUACCCUGGUAGUCCGCACAGGAAACGAUGAAUACUCGCUGUUUGCGAUACACGGUAAGCGGCCAAGCGAAAGCGUUAAGUAGUCCACCUGGGGAGUACGCCUGCAACGGUGAAACUCAAAUGAAUUGACGGGG
rnacentral:rRNA from 1 species